AGUUAACUCGCUAUGAAGCACUGACCAAGUCAACCUGACAUGACUGGGUCAUCUUCCUCAUCAUCCCCACUGCUCCAAAGCUAUGGUUUCCCAAGGACUUCUCGAACUCUACUUUUAACCAUGGGCCAAACAAUAUACUGGGCACAUUAGCUCCGUUACCAUCGCUGGUGAUGGGAGGAAGUGUUGAACGAUCACCCGCAUCCUCAUCAGUAAUGAUAAAGUUGCUGGGUUUGACUUGUUUUCCAUCGAGAGAAGAGA
rnacentral:lncRNA from 1 species